rnacentral:rRNA from 1 species
UACGUAGGGUCCGAGCGUUGUCCGGAAUUAUUGGGCGUAAAGAGCUCGUAGGCGGUUUGUCGCGUCUGCUGUGAAAACCCGAGGCUCAACCUCGGGCCUGCAGUGGGUACGGGCAGACUAGAGUGCGGUAGGGGAGAUUGGAAUUCCUGGUGUAGCGGUGGAAUGCGCAGGUAUCAGGAGGAACACCAAUGGCGAAGGCAGAUCUCUGGGCCGUAACUGACGCUGAGGAAGCGAAAGCAUGGGGAGCGAACAGG